rnacentral:lncRNA from 1 species
GAGGAUUUUAGGCUUCUGUGCAACCUGCUGUGUCUGUGCUCUGCGCAUUUUGAAGUGGAGAGGGGAGUGUGGACUUCAUGGAGUGGAAAGGUAAAGGUCUCACCAUGGAUGGAAACAAGAAGUAAAAGGAGUAAAGGGCUUUGAAUCCAUUUGUAAUGCUGCACCCAGGACAGGUAAUAUCACCUGCAAAACUCCCAUG